CCCAGAAGUCCUUUUCAUAUGAAUAAGAACUUAGUUUCGUCAACAAAAGGGAAAAAUUGUUUUAGUCAGACGAAACAUUCAAAAAUAUUCUUCACCUUUUAAUGUCAUAAACAUGAAUCAAUUUUGAAUGUUGAACCGAAUGAGGGUAGCCGGACUCUAUGGAGAGAGUGGACUAUGUGGGAACAACCAAUGAAAUCAUUUUAUACUGAUCCAAAAAUAUUGAUAAAUUUAGAAAUUUGAUCCGAAACUUU
rnacentral:lncRNA from 1 species